rnacentral:rRNA from 1 species
CAGCAACCGCGGUUAUACAAAUAAUACAAAUAAAAUUUAUUAAUAAUAGUUAAUUUGUUUUAUUUAAGUUUAUUUUAAAUUUUUUAAGUGAAAUUUUAAAUUUAAUUAAUUUUAAAAUAAAUGAAGCUAAUAAAUUUUAGUAAUAAACUAGGAUUAGAUACCCUAUUAUUUAAAAAGUAUUUUUUUUUGUUUGAGUAGUAAUAGUUAUGUUCUUAAAACUUAAAAAAUUUGGCGGUGUUUUAGUCUAUUUAGAGGAACCUGUCCUGUAAUCGAUAAUCCACGUUGGACCUUACUAAUUUUUGUUUUCAAUUUGUAUAUCGCCGUUAUCAGAAUAUCUUAAAAGAGAAAAAAAUUUCUAAAUUUAUUAAUAAAAAUGAUGUCAGGUCAAGGUGCAGUUUAUAUUUUAGAAGAGAUGGGUUACAAUAAAAUUAUUUAUACGAAGAAUUUUAUUGAAAAAUAAAUUUAAAGGUGGAUUUAAAAGUAA